rnacentral:rRNA from 1 species
GAUGAACGCUGGCGGCGUGCCUAAUACAUGCAAGUCGAGCGAACAGAUAAGGAGCUUGCUCCUUUGACGUUAGCGGCGGACGGGUGAGUAACACGUGGGUAACCUACCUAUAAGACUGGAAUAACUCCGGGAAACCGGGGCUAAUGCCGGAUAACAUUUAGAACCGCAUGGUUCUAAAGUGAAAGAUGGUUUUACUAUCACUUAUAGAUGGACCCGCGCCGUAUUAGCUAGUUGGUAAGGUAACGGCUUACCAAGGCAACGAUACGUAGCCGACCUGAGAGGGUGAUCGGCCACACUGGAACUGAGACACGGUCCAGACUCCUACGGGAGGCAGCAGUAGGGAAUCUUCCGCAAUGGGCGAAAGCCUGACGGAGCAACGCCGCGUGAGUGAUGAAGGUCCUCGGAUCGUAAAACUCUGUUAUUAGGGAAGAACAAAUGUGUAAGUAACUGUGCACGUCUUGACGGUACCUAAUCAGAAAGCCACGGCUAACUACGUG